UACGGAGGGAGCUAGCGUUGUUCGGAAUUACUGGGCGUAAAGCGCGCGUAGGCGGCUUUGCAAGUUAGAGGUGAAAGCCCGGAGCUCAACUUCGGAAUUGCCUUUAAAACUGCAUCGCUAGAAUUGUGGAGAGGUGAGUGGAAUUCCGAGUGUAGAGGUGAAAUUCGUAGAUAUUCGGAAGAACACCAGUGGCGAAGGCGACUCACUGGACACAUAUUGACGCUGAGGUGCGAAAGCGUGGGGAGCAAACAGG
rnacentral:rRNA from 1 species